AAUAGACUACCCUGGUAGUCCAUGCCGUAAACGUUGGGCACUAGGUGUGGGGGGACAUUCCACGUUUUCCGCGCCGUAGCUAACGCAUUAAGUGCCCCGCCUGGGGAGUACGGCCGCAAGGCUAAAACUCAAAGGAAUUGACGGGGGCCCGCACAAGCGGCGGAGCAUGCGGAUUAAUUCGAUGCAACGCGAAGAACCUUACCAAGGCUUGACAUGGACCGGAUCGCUGCAGAAAUGUGGUUUCUCCUUUUGGGGCCGGUUCACAGGUGGUGCAUGGUUGUCGUCAGCUCGUGUCGUGAGAUGUUGGGUUAAGUCCCGCAACGAGCGCAACCCUCGUUCCCAUGUUGCCAGCACGUGAUGGUGGGGACUCAUGGGAGACUGCCGGGGUCAACUCGGAGGAAGGCGGGGACGACGUCAAAGUCAUCAUGCCCCUUAUGUCUUGGGCUUCACGCAUGCUACAAUGGCCGGUACAAAGGGUUGCGAUACUGUGAGGUGGAGCUAAUCCCGAAAAAGCCGGUCUCAGUUCGGAUUGGGGUCUGCAACUCCG
rnacentral:rRNA from 1 species